rnacentral:rRNA from 1 species
UACGAAGGGGGCUAGCGUUGCUCGGAAUCACUGGGCGUAAAGGGUGCGUAGGCGGGUCUUUAAGUCAGGGUGAAAUCCUGGAGCUCAACUCCAGAACUGCCUUUGAUACUGAGGAUCUUGAGUUCGGGAGAGGUGAGUGGAACUGCGAGUGUAGAGGUGAAAUUCGUAGAUAUUCGCAAGAACACCAGUGGCGAAGGCGGCUCACUGGCCCGAUACUGACGCUGAGGCACGAAGCGUGGGAGCAAACAGG